AUUGAACGCUGGCGGCAGGCCUAACACAUGCAAGUCGAACGAGCGGCGGACGGGUGAGUAAUGUAUGGGGAACUGCCCGAUGGAGGGGGAUAACUACUGGAAACGGUAGCUAAUACCGCAUACUAUCGGAUGUACCCAGAUGGGAUUAGCUAGUAGGUGGGGUAACGGCUCACCUAGGCGACGAUCCCUAGCUGGUCUGAGAGGAUGACCAGCCACACGGGGACUGAGACACGGCCCAGACUCCUACGGGAGGCAGCAGUGGGGAAUAUUGCACAAUGGGCGCAAGCCUGAUGCAGCCAUGCCGCGUGUAUGAAGAAGGCCUUCGGGUUGUAAAGUACUUUCAGCGAGGAGGCGUUACUCGCAGAAGAAGCACCGGCUAACUCCGUGCCAGCAGCCGCGGUAAUAC
rnacentral:rRNA from 1 species